GACGAACGCUGGCGGCGUGCUUAACACAUGCAAGUCGAACGGUGAUGCUCCAGCUUGCUGGAGUGGAUCAGUGGCGAACGGGUGAGUAACACGUGAGCAACCUGCCCCAGACUCUGGAAUAAGCGCUGGAAACGGCGUCUAAUACUGGAUACGAAACUGGCCCGCAUGGGCAUGGUUUGGAAAGUUUUUCGGUUUGGGAUGGGCUCGCGGCCUAUCAGCUUGUUGGUAAGGUAAUGGCUCACCAAGGCGACGACGGGUAGCCGGCCUGAGAGGGCGACCGGCCACACUGGGACUGAGACACGGCCCAGACUCCUACGGGAGGCAGCAGUGGGGAAUAUUGCACAAUGGGCGAAAGCCUGAUGCAGCGACGCCGCGUGAGGGAUGACGGCCUUCGGGUUGUAAACCUCUUUCAGCAGGGAAGAAGCGAAAGUGACGGUACCUGCAGAAGAAGCACCGGCUAACUACGUG
rnacentral:rRNA from 1 species